CCUGGCUCAGAUUGAACGCUGGCGGCAGGCCUAACACAUGCAAGUCGAGCGGAUGACGGGAGCUUGCUCCUUGAUUCAGCGGCGGACGGGUGAGUAAUGCCUAGGAAUCUGCCUGGUAGUGGGGGACAACGUUUCGAAAGGAACGCUAAUACCGCAUACGUCCUACGGGAGAAAGCAGGGGACCUUCGGGCCUUGCGCUAUCAGAUGAGCCUAGGUCGGAUUAGCUAGUUGGUGAGGUAAUGGCUCACCAAGGCG
rnacentral:rRNA from 1 species